rnacentral:rRNA from 1 species
UGCCAGCAGCCGCGGUAAUACGAAGGGUGCAAGCGUUACUCGGAAUUACUGGGCGUAAAGCGUGCGUAGGUGGUCGUUUAGGUCCGUUGUGAAAGCCCUGGGCUCAACCUGGGAACUGCAGUGGAUACUGGGCGACUAGAGUGUGGUAGAGGGUAGCGGAAUUCCUGGUGUAGCAGUGAAAUGCGUAGAGAUCAGGAGGAACAUCCAUGGCGAAGGCAGCUACCUGGACCAACACUGACACUGAGGCACGAAAGCGUGGGGAGCAAACAGGAUUAGAUACCCUGGUAGUCCACGCCCUAAACGAUGCGAACUGGAUGUUGGGUGCAAUUUGGCACGCAGUAUCGAAGCUAAC